rnacentral:rRNA from 1 species
UACAGGGGGGGCAAGCGUUGUUCGGAAUUACUGGGCGUAAAGGGCUCGUAGGUGGCCAACUAAGUCAGACGUGAAAUCCCUCAGCUUAACUGGGGAACUGCGUCUGAUACUGGAUGGCUUGAGUUUGGGAGAGGGAUGCGGAAUUCCCGGUGUAGAGGUGAAAUUCGUAGAUAUCGGGAGGAACACCGGUGGCGAAGGCGGCGACCUGGGUAGAUACUGACGCUGAGGCGCGAAAGCGUGGGGAGCAAACAGG